rnacentral:rRNA from 1 species
UACGUAGGGUGCGAGCGUUGUCCGGAAUUAUUGGGCGUAAAGAGCUCGUAGGCGGUCUGUCGCGUCGAUCGUGAAAACUUGGGGCUUAACCCUGAGCUUGCGGUCGAUACGGGCAUGACUGGAGUUCGGCAGGGGAGACUGGAAUUCCUGGUGUAGCGGUGAAAUGCGCAGAUAUCAGGAGGAACACCGGUGGCGAAGGCGGGUCUCGUGGGCCGAUGACUGACGCUGGAGGCGCGAAAGCGUGGGAGC